CCUACGGGUGGCUGCAGUGAGGAAUAUUGGUCAAUGGGCGAGAGCCUGAACCAGCCAAGUCGCGUGAGGGAGUACUGCCCUAUGGGUUGUAAACCUCUUUUGUCGGGGAGCAAAAGCCGGACGUGUCCGGCUGUGAGAGUACCCGAAGAAAAAGCAUCGGCUAACUCCGUGCCAGCAGCCGCGGUAAUACGUAGGAGGCAAGCGUUAUCCGGAAUGACUGGGCGUAAAGGGUGCGUAGGUGGUUUGACAAGUUAGUAGCGUAAUUCCGGGGUUCAACUUCGGAACUACAACUAAAACUGUUGGGCUUGAGUGCAGGAGAGGUGAAUGGAAUUCCUAGUGUAGCGGUGGAAUGCGUAGAUAUUAGGAGGAACACCAGCGGCGAAAGCGAUUCACUGGACUGUAACUGACACUGAGGCACGAAAGCGUGGGGAGCAAACAGGAUUAGAUACCCGAGUAGUC
rnacentral:rRNA from 1 species